UACGAAGGGGGCUAGCGUUGCUCGGAAUCACUGGGCGUAAAGGGUGCGUAGGCGGGUUUUUAAGUCAGGGGUGAAAUCCUGGAGCUCAACUCCAGAACUGCCUUUGAUACUGAAGAUCUUGAGUCCGGGAGAGAUGAGUGGAACUGCGAGUGUAGAGGUGAAAUUCGUAGAUAUUCGCAAGAACACCAGUGGCGAAGGCGGCUCACUGGCCCGGUACUGACGCUGAGGCACGAAAGCGUGGGGAGCAAACAGG
rnacentral:rRNA from 1 species